CACGGGGGGAGCAAGCGUUGUUCGGAAUCACUGGGCGUAAAGGGCGUGUAGGCGGUCAGGUAAGUGGGAUGUGAAAUGCCUCGGCUCACCCGAGGAUCUGCAUUCCAAACUGCUUGGCUUGAGUAUGGGAGAGGAUGAGGGAAUUCCUGGUGUAGCGGUGAAAUGCGUAGAUAUCAGGAGGAACACCGGUGGCGAAGGCGCUCAUCUGGCCCAAUACUGACGCUGAUGCGCGAAAGCUAGGGGAGCAAACGGG
rnacentral:rRNA from 1 species